GAGGGACUGACUUAAUAACCUACUGGAGAUGACGGUCAGCAUGACCCCCAGUUUGGAGAAACAGACAGCAGUACCGGCACAGUAGCAAAGCAAAGCACUGCUGUGGACCGGGGCGGCAGCAAAACAUAUUUUACCACCUAAAAGAGAGGCUCGCCUAGAAAUAUCAAUACCACAAGACUCCGAUGACAAAAACAGUGAUUUUCGCUUUGCAGGAACAGCGGUAGUCCAGAAACUUCAUGUUCUGCAAGGUAGAAUUUGAAAAAUGGUGUACUUGCAUGUUUUCUCACCUUUUUAUAUGAUGAUCAGAAUACACAAACAAGUCGGAUGUAAAUAAAAAGGCACAAAUCUCAAAGUUAAACUGAUUCAGUCACUAUGAACAUCACGACACGAUGAGAACAAUGUUUCUGUCCUAUGCUCGAUCUUGUUGGGUAUGUUAUCAGUAAGAAUU